UCGUCCCCUUUUAUUUCAUUUCAUUUUGCGCCGUUGCCUGAUGUUUUGCGCUUAUUUUUCACUGUAUGGAGCAUGUAAUCACUUCCAAACUCUAGAAAUGCACACGUCCACUCCAUCCACAUUGUACUCCGUCCAUACCCACCUCCGCCACGUUCGUCAAAGUGAUUUUUUUCCACUUUCAGCUAUUUUCUGUCUCCGUAUCCAAGGACGUCGGCCAUGAUGUCGCAAGCCGGAAAUUACGUUGUAGACAAUCACAUCCACACAACAACAUUCGGCCCUGUCAAAACCACACGUCUUAAACGCCUGCUAACCCUUGAAAAGUGUUUUCAAGCUGUAAACAAGUAUGGCCGGGCUAUUUUCUGUCUCCGUAUCCAAGGACGUCGGCCAUGAUGUCGCAAGCCGGAAAUUACGUUGUAGACAAUCACAUCCACACAACAACAUUCGGCCCUGUCAAAACCACACGUCUUAAACGCCUGCUAACCCUUGAAAAGUGUUUUCAAGCUGUAAACAAGUAUGGCCGGGCUAUUUUCUGUCUCCGUAUCCAAGGACGUCGGCCAUGAUGUCGCAAGCCGGAAAUUACGUUGUAGACAAUCACAUCCACACAACAACAUUCGGCCCUGUCAAAACCACACGUCUUAAACGCCUGCUAACCCUUGAAAAGUGUUUUCAAGCUGUAAACAAGUAUGGCCGGGCUAUUUUCUGUCUCCGUAUCCAAGGACGUCGGCCAUGAUGUCGCAAGCCGGAAAUUACGUUGUAGACAAUCACAUCCACACAACAACAUUCGGCCCUGUCAAAACCACACGUCUUAAACGCCUGCUAACCCUUGAAAAGUGUUUUCAAGCUGUAAACAAGUAUGGCCGGGCUAUUUUCUGUCUCCGUAUCCAAGGACGUCGGCCAUGAUGUCGCAAGCCGGAAAUUACGUUGUAGACAAUCACAUCCACACAACAACAUUCGGCCCUGUCAAAACCACACGUCUUAAACGCCUGCUAACCCUUGAAAAGUGUUUUCAAGCUGUAAACAAGUAUGGCCGGGCUAUUUUCUGUCUCCGUAUCCAAGGACGUCGGCCAUGAUGUCGCAAGCCGGAAAUUACGUUGUAGACAAUCACAUCCACACAACAACAUUCGGCCCUGUCAAAACCACACGUCUUAAACGCCUGCUAACCCUUGAAAAGUGUUUUCAAGCUGUAAACAAGUAUGGCCGGGCUAUUUUCUGUCUCCGUAUCCAAGGACGUCGGCCAUGAUGUCGCAAGCCGGAAAUUACGUUGUAGACAAUCACAUCCACACAACAACAUUCGGCCCUGUCAAAA